UGGGGAUUAGGCGUAAAUCACACACUAAGAAGGUCUUCCAUCUCUCUAAGAAUUGUGUAAAUUUGCUGUAAGAUUAUAUACAACCAAAAAGAAGAGGAAAACAACGAGGGCUCGAGGAAUUAGAUUACUAGUUUUGCAGAGCCUCGGCUUUUUGAGUCAAAUCUUGAUGUUAUAUCCUUUCAUAUUAACCCUGUUGGCUCAUUAAAAUUUCCACAGCAACAUUCAAGUCCCCUUCGGCUGCAGCCAGUGCAACUUCUACUUGUGUCUUCUCAAAACCCAUUGCAACAAGUUUCUGAACUUCUUCAUCUGAGGGAAUGGAAGCCUGCUGUCCUAGCGGUCUUGUAGCUGUGGUGGUAGUAUCAACUGCUGAUAGUCUUCCAGCUAAGCUCCGCUCUCCAGCUAUUGUAGCAGUAGGUGAACUACGCUCAGGGCUGCUGCUACCAUCCAGGAGCCUAGCCUGUAACGUUGAAUCAUGAUUAGUGGUGGUGGUCUGGGAACUCAGAGUUCUUCCUCUCCCAGGAAACCUGCUAUCAUCUGUCACCGGCUGAGCAGAGAGAGAGCUCUCUCUCUGUGGCAUCCACGAAGAAAGGUUCUCCCAAAUAUUUCCAGAAAGCACUUCACUUCUGGAGGUCACUGUUUGAUUUGAAUGUGUCGGUAGGUAUCCUGCACCAUUACCACCAGUGCACAUAAUAAACUUUGGUCUCCUCACACAAGUUGAUAGCCAAGUGGAAGAUUCAAUAGCCGAGAAGAAAGAUGUCCCAGGUAUUAAGACAUUGAACAAUCCAUAUGUAUAUGCAAAUCCAGACAAAAUACCACAAAGAUGUCCAAG
rnacentral:misc_RNA from 1 species